AAUUUUUUCAGAAUAAUUUUGUUAUUAAAAAAAUUGACAGAUGUCUGUUAGUUUCAGUAUCACUACUUUAAACACAAAGAUGUGGUACUUUAUCGUUACAUACAAAUUGUAUUUAAUUAACACUAAAUUUGUACAAAAAAAGUCAUCAAUAAACAUUUUUGUGCUGAAUUGUACGAAAAUUUUUUUUACUGUGUAUUGAGAAUAAAGAGAAUCCACAGCUUUAUAUUACAUUAUUUUAUAGUGUUAUCUUGUGCUGUAAAGUUGAGUUGGAGCAUGGCACAGCCACCGGCGAAGAUUCAUCAACGCCAUCGCAUAUACAUGGCACCAACGAGGUAACCAACGAGAUGCAUUUUAUCCAUACUAUAUUCGCUAUCGCGAACAUUUCAUUAUCUAUCUAAAGAUCUAACAUAAUGGUCUAAUGGUAUUUAUACCUGGGAUGAUAAAAACAGUAGCCAGAGUAUCAAUAUACCAAAUAGAAAUUGUUUUUACGUUUCACGGAGAAUUGUAAUUGAAUAUUCAACAUCGGACGGAAAAAUACUGUCAGCGCACCAUUCAAUGAGAAUAAUGAUCAUGAAAAAAUGGUUUUUUAAAGGCAUGUAAGUAAGCGAAAACACUAAUUAAUUGCGCAACAAAAUAAAACUGUCAGUUGACAAACAAGCGGACAAAUUUUUUCCAGAUAAAAAACUUCAUUUUGACAGCACUUAAUUCAAGCUCCAUGGCCCCGGUUACAGGAGCAUAGAUCAAGAUCCAAGGGUCGGAUCAGUGUUAAAAGUAGAAUUAAACUGACACGUAAAGGAGUGAAGAAAUACGGCAGUACGGAUGUAUAAUAGGAAAUACGAGCGAAGACAAGAGUCAAUCGUGAUGGAUAGUAGACCACACGCAUUAUUUGUCACACUGACAUACAAUAUACAUGGAUUAAUGUUCAAUCAUGUUUAAAAGAUUCAUCUUUUCUUAAUACUUAAUGCCAAAGGGACGGCUUUUGGUGGACAUUCUCAAACGUCAUGACCGUGACAUUGGGGAGACCCAGACAUAACAGACACCCCAACAAUUCGGUUUGGAAAAUUAGCAUGUGAUGUUCAGAAGCUGCAAGAAAAAAUUACUCUGGCCGGUUUACUUUGUAAAAACUGCAGGAGGUCUUGCUCCCUUUGACGAAAAUAAUAUAAUAAGAUUUUGAAUUUUACACUUAGAGUAAUUAAAAGUAUUGAGUAUUGUCAAGAGGGCGUGUAAUUUCCUGUUUCUAAAAAUACGAAUAUUUAAACAAGUUGCCAAAAAAGGAGUAGAGAUCAUUUUUGUCUUUACAAGAAAAUUAUGACAUUGGAAUCAACAGAUAUCUUACAAUUUUUUAGAUUUUUGUAACAAUUAAAUUAUAAUGAAAACAAUUAAGUAAAAAAUUCCACAUGUAG
rnacentral:lncRNA from 1 species